rnacentral:rRNA from 1 species
GACGAACGCUGGCGGCGUGCCUAACACAUGCAAGUCAACGAGAAAGGGGUAGCAAUAUCCUGAGUAAAGUGGCGCACGGGUGAGUAACACGUAGGUAAUCUGCCAUCAGGACGGGGACGAACCACGCGAAAGACGUAGCUAAUACCCGACUGAAUCAGCGAUGCCGCAUGGCAUUGCUGUUAAAUAACCGCAAGGUGCCCGACUGAUGAACCUGCGUCCCANAGGUUAGUUGGUGAGGUAACGGCUCACCAAGCCGACGAUGGGUAGCUGGUCUGAGAGGAUGAUCAGCCACACUGGAACUGAGACACGGUCCAGACUCCUACGGGAGGCAGCAGUGAGGAAUAUUGCGCAAUGGCCGAAAGGCUGACGCAGCGACG